rnacentral:rRNA from 1 species
AUUGAACGCUGGCGGCAUGCUUUACACAUGCAAGUCGAACGGUAACAGGCCGCAAGGUGCUGACGAGUGGCGAACGGGUGAGUAAUGCAUCGGAACGUGCCCAGUCGUGGGGGAUAACGCAGCGAAAGCUGUGCUAAUACCGCAUACGAUCUAUGGAUGAAAGCGGGGGACCGUAAGGCCUCGCGCGAUUGGAGCGGCCGAUGUCAGAUUAGGUAGUUGGUGGGGUAAAGGCCCACCAAGCCGACGAUCUGUAGCUGGUCUGAGAGGACGACCAGCCACACUGGGACUGAGACACGGCCCAGACUCCCACGGGAGGCAGCAGUGGGGAAUUUUGGACAAUGGGCGCAAGCCUGAUCCAGCAAUGCCGCGUGCAGGAUGAAGGCCUUCGGGUUGUAAACUGCUUUUGUACGGAACGAAAAGCCCUGGGUUAAUACCCUGGGGUCAUGACGGUACCGUAAGAAUAAGCACCGGCUAACUACGUGCCAGCAGCCGCCGUAACAC